rnacentral:lncRNA from 10 species
UUCAAUUAAGGAUACUGAGGCACUGUGAGGUUCACUGAAAGCUGGACUGUGAGGAAGAUUCGGGCCGUCGGACUCCAGACCCCAAGCUCUAACAUACUAUGAGGGCAUCCCAGGAGAAGGCAGAGUCCAGGAGGCGGAUGUUGGGAAGCAAAUCCUGAACUCAUCAAGUCCCAUAGCCCCUUUGUCUAUGGACCUUCUGCCAGCAUCUUCUGUAAGGUACGUUCUUUUAC